AGGAUGAACGCUGGCGGCGUGCUUAACACAUGCAAGUCGAACGGUGAAACAGGAGCUUGCUCCUGUCGAUCAGUGGCGAACGGGUGAGUAACACGUGAGUAACCUGCCCUUGACUCUGGGAUAAGCGCUGGAAACGGCGUCUAAUACCGGAUACGAGCUUCGGAGGCAUCUCCAGAAGCUGGAAAGAACUUCGGUCAAGGAUGGACUCGCGGCCUAUCAGCUAGUUGGUGAGGUAACGGCCCACCAAGGCGACGACGGGUAGCCGGCCUGACGAGGGUGACCGGCCACGACCUGGGACUGAGACACGGCCCAGACUCCUACGGGAGGCAGCAGUGGGAAUAGUUGCACAAUGGGCGAAAGCCUGAUGCAGCAACGCCGCGUGAGGGACGACGGCCUUCGGUGUAACCGUCGUUUACGUAGGUAAGAAGCGAAAGUGAACGGUACCUGACAAGAAAAGCGAACCGGACUAACGUACGUAGACCGAG
rnacentral:rRNA from 1 species